CAGUGGGGAAUCUUGCACAAUGGAGGAAACUCUGAUGCAGCGAUGCCGCGUGAGUGAAGAAGGCCUUUGGGUUGUAAAGCUCUUUUGUAGGGGAAGAUAAUGACUGUACCCUAAGAAUAAGGUCCGGCUAACUUCGUGCCAGCAGCCGCGGUAAUACGAAGGGACCUAGCGUAGUUCGGAAUUACUGGGCGUAAAGCGCGCGUAGGCCGUUGAGUUAGUUAAUUGUGAAAUCCCAAAGCUUAACUUUGGAACUGCAAUUAAAACUGCUCGACUAGAGUUUGAUAGAGGAAAGCGGAAUACAUAGUGUAGAGGUGAAAUUCGUAGAUAUUAUGUAGAACACCAGUUGCGAAGGCGGCUUUCUGGAUCAACACUGACGCUGAGGCGCGAAAGUAUGGGUAGCAAAGAGGAUUAGAUACCCCGGUAGUCCGGU
rnacentral:rRNA from 1 species